UACGUAGGGGGCAAGCGUUGUCCGGAAUCAUUGGGCGUAAAGAGCGUGUAGGCGGCUUUGCAAGUCCGUUGUGAAAACUCGAGGCUCAACCUCGAGACGCCGGUGGAAACUGCAAAGCUAGAGUCCGGAAGAGGAGAGUGGAAUUCCUGGUGUAGCGGUGAAAUGCGCAGAUAUCAGGAAGAACACCCGUGGCGAAGGCGGCUCUCUGGGACGGUACUGACGCUGAGGCACGAAAGCGUGGGGAGCAAACAGG
rnacentral:rRNA from 1 species